AGCAGCCGCGGUAAUUCCAGCUCCAAUAGCGUAUAUUAAAGUUGUUGCAGUUAAAAAGCUCGUAGUUGAAUUUCGGGAUCAGUACGCUGGUCAUGCCUUUGGUAUGCACUGGUGUCACUGGUUUCUCCCUUCUGAAGAACCGUGAUGUCAUUAAUUUGGUGUCGCGGGGAAUCAGGACUGUUACUUUGAAAAAUUAGAGUGUUUAAAGCAGGCUCACGCUUGAAUACAUUAGCAUGGAAUAAUGAAAUAGGACGUUUGACCCUAUUUUGUUGGUUUCUAGGAUCGACGUAAUGAUUAAUAGGGAUAGUUGGGGGCAUUAGUAUUCAAUUGUCAGAGGUGAAAUUCUUGGAUUUAUUGAAGACUAACUACUGCGAAAGCAUUUGCCAAGGAUGUUUUCAUUAAUCAAGAACGAAAGUUAGGGGAUCGAAGACGAUCAGAUACCGUCGUAGUCUUAACCAUAAACUAUGCCGACUAGGGAUCGGAUGAUGUUAAUUUUAUAAUGACUC
rnacentral:rRNA from 1 species